AAGUCGUAACAAGGUUUCCGUAGGUGAACCUGCGGAAGGAUCAUUAACACGUAUCCAACGUUAAACAACCCUGUGAACUUUCAACCCCGUCGGAAUGAGAUUAAUUUCCAACUCCGGCGAAGACAAGUGACCUGGCACCUGACCUCAUCAAAGCUCUGACAGCGUGCCUCUGGAUGCUUAAUGGAAGGGUGACGCAGUAACGAUCGCUGGAGGCCCACACGGCCGGCGACCGGGUCAGCGGCAUUCUUUAAUGCCCCUUAAAACCACUUAACAUGACGACAGUUCCUCUUUAACUUGAGUUGAGCUAUAACAAAAAACUAAUACAACUGUUAACAAUGGAUAUCUUGGUUCUC
rnacentral:misc_RNA from 1 species